rnacentral:rRNA from 1 species
GACGAACGCUGGCGGCGUGCUUAACACAUGCAAGUCGAACGAAGUGGCGGACGGGUGAGUAAUGCGUAGUCAACUUCCCCUUCAGAGGGGGACAACAGUUGGAAACGUCUGCUAAUACCCCAUACGGAAGGAGGGGUAUGUGUGUGAUUAGCUAGUUGGAGGGGUAACGGCCCACCAAUGUGAAGAUCAGUAGGCUGGCUGGGAGGAUGAACGGGCCAAUUGGGACUGGGACACGGGCCCGACUCCUACGGGAGGGAGGCGUGGGGAAUCUUCCGCAAUGGGCGGAAGGCUGACGGAGCAACGGCGCGGGAUAGAUGACGGGCUUCGGGGUGUAAAGCUCUUUUAAUCGGGAAGCGGUACCGGAAGAGGAAGCCACGGCUAACUACGUGCCAGUAGCCGCGGUAAUAC